UAUUUAAUACGCAACAAAAUAUGUAAAACAACACAUUAUAUCUACUUGUAGAGCCGAUUGUCUUGCAUCGAGCAUAAUAUGGAUUGUAGAUACAGCGAUUAUAGGUAUGACAGGACACAUGGUUCCGGUAAUGUAAAAUAUUAAAUACAAUGGUUGCUUUCAGUUCUGUUUGUAAUGAAGACAAGACAUUUCGUUAAUUGUUUGCGAUGAAAUUUAUAUCUUUGUAAUAAAAUAUACAAACAAGCAUUUACGGAAUGGCAAUUGUUUCUUCUCCAUCGAUAUCUCUGAAAUCUGACAUCACACGUGCGACGCGUGACAGAUUCACAAAUGCUUGCGACAGUCGACGACCAAAACAAUGACAGAGGUCGAGUGGUUGUAGCACCUGUGGCAGUGUAAUAGUCUCCCGCCGUUCUUUACGUGAGUUUCGACAAAAGCCCGUUUAUCACAGAUUAGGAACGUAUAUAGGUCACGUUACAGCAUAUAUAUUUACAGGCUUCAGCCUCACGCAGAUACCAGAGCUGGUAGCGACCUAGAAAAGCUUGCAUGGUGUUUGAGUACUAUCGCAUCACGGAUCAAACGGUCGUGGAUGUACGCGGAGUGCAGACGAAUCCUCUAUUUGAUAAACCAGCAUAAACAAUAAAUUACGGGUGAAAUCACAACAUUCCAAACACUAUAUUUAUCCUUUACACUGAAGGAGACUUUGAUAUAACGAGACUGUGUAUAGGCAGAAAUCAUGGAAUCAGAAGCGAGAAAUCAA